UCCCCGUUUUCCGGGGCAGUCCCUGUAGAGUUCCCGGCAUGACCCGCUGGCAACUAGUAGCGAGGGUUGCGCUCGUUGCGGGACUUAACCCAACAUCUCACGACACGAGCUGACGACAGCCAUGCAGCACCUGUGUAAGUGUCCCGAAGGAAAACUGUGUUUCCACAGUAGUCACUUACAUGUCAAACCCAGGUAAGGUUCUUCGCGUUGCGUCGAAUUAAACCACAUGCUCCGCUGCUUGUGCGGGCCCCCGUCAAUUCCUUUGAGUUUCAACCUUGCGGUCGUACUCCCCAGGUGGCUUACUUAACGGUUUCCCUUGGACGCACUACACCGAAGUGUCAUACGUCGAGUAAGCAUCGUUUAGGGCGUGGACUAC
rnacentral:misc_RNA from 1 species